AACCUUAUGGACCUGCGGGCGUAUACCUGCGGAAGGAUCAUUACAUUCAGUAGCCUAGCUACUUGUUUACACCCUUGUUUUUUUGCGCACUUCAUUGUAUCCCUCGGCGGGCUUGCUCGCCGGUUGGACAACAUUUAUAACCUUUUUUAAUCUUCAAUCAGCGUCUGAAUUAUAUUUAAUAAUUACAACUUUCAACAACGGAUCU
rnacentral:misc_RNA from 1 species